AGAGUUUGAUUCUGGCUCAGGACGAACGCUGGCGGCAUGCCUAACACAUGCAAGUCGAACGGAGUUCACUUUUUAGAUCCUUUCGGGGUGACGAGAUUUGAACUUAGUGGCGGACGGGUGAGUAACGCGUGGGUAACCUGCCCUUUUGUGGGGAACAACUUCGAGAAAUUGAAGCUAAUACCGCAUAAACUUUAGGAGUCGCAUGACUCUAAAAGGAAAGAUGGCCUCUCGGUGAAGCUAUCGCAAAAGGAUGGACCCGCGUCUGAUUAGCUAGUUGGAAGGGUAACGGCCUACCAAGGCGACGAUCAGUAGCCGGCCUGAGAGGGUGAACGGCCACAUUGGGACUGAGACACGGCCCAAACUCCUACGGGAGGCAGCAGUGGGGAAUCUUCCGCAAUGGGCGAAAGCCUGACGGAGCAAUGCCGCGUGAGUGAAGAAGGCCUUCGGGUUGUAAAACUCUGUCCUUAUUGAAGAGAGGUAUCAGUGUGAAUAAUGCUGAUAUAGGACGGUAAAUAAGGAGGAAGCCCCGGCUAACUACGUGCCAGCAGCCGCGGUAAUACGUAGGGGGCGAGCGUUGUCCGGAAUCACUGGGCGUAAAGGGCGCGUAGGCGGUUUAAUAAGUCAGUGGUGAAAACUAUGGGCUCAACCCAUAGCCUGCCACUGAUACUGUUAGACUUGAGUAUGGAAGAGGAGAAUGGAAUUCCUAGUGUAGCGGUGAAAUGCGUAGAUAUUAGGAGGAACACCAGUGGCGAAGGCGAUUCUCUGGGCCAAAACUGACGCUGAGGCGCGAAAGCGUGGGGAGCAAACAGGAUUAGAUACCCUGGUAGUCCACGCCGUAAACG
rnacentral:rRNA from 1 species